UUUUCAAGAAAUGAAUUUAAUUCAUGUAUCAUAUUUAAUUUCUGUUAUUUUUCUAUUUAUUUUUAUUUGAUGCUAAGAUUGAGGGGGAUUAGCUCCUUAUUUUAUUAUUAUAAUUAUUUAUUAAAGAUUUAGUUUUGUGGAUUUUAUAGUGAUUUUCAAUUUGAUUAUGUUAAAAUUUUACUUGUUCUUUUAUUUAUUUAUUUUAAUUUAAUUGUUUUAUUGAAAUAUUUUCUUUACUUUUAGGUUUGUAUAGUAAUUAUUGUGGAAUUAGUAAAUUUUAUUUUUAUUCUGUAAAAUUAAUGAGGGUGUUAAUUAUUUUUAAGGAAUUCGGCAAACAAUUUGUGUCCGCCUGUUUAACAAAAACAUCUUUUCUUGUUAGUUUUUGAAGUAUGGCCUGCCCACUGACUUAUAAGUUAAAGGGCCGCGGUAUUUUGACCGUGCAAAGGUAGCAUAAUCAUUAGUUCUUUAAUUGUGAUCUGGUAUGAAUGGCUUGACGAGACAUCAGCUGUCUUGGGGAUAUUAUUUAUUGAAUUUGGUUUUUGAGUUAAAAUUCUUAAAUGUUUUUAUGGGACGAGAAGACCCUAUAGAGUUUAACAUUUGUUCUGGUUAUAUUUUAUUUUGUUUGUUUUUUGAUUUAAAUUGGUAUGAAUGUUUUGUUGGGGUGAUGGGAGGAAUGAUUUUAACUCCUCUUUGUUUAAAAUUGUAUAUUUAUGUAUAUUUGUUUGAUCC
rnacentral:rRNA from 1 species